UUUAUGGAGAGUUUGAUCCUGGCUCAGGGUUAACGCUAGCGACGUGCCUAAGGUAUGCAAGUCGAACGGUGAACUUUUGGUAGUAAUACCGAAAGUUCAUAGUGGCAAACGGCUGAGUAACGCGUGGGAAUCUCCCCUUGAGUCUGAUAUAGCUCGCCGAAAGGCGGGGUAAUCUCAGAUAGUCUCGCAAGAGUAAAGAUUUUUCGCUCAAGGAUGAGCCCGCGUCCUAUCAGGUUGUUGGUGGGGUAAUGGCCUACCAAGCCUAUGACGGGUAGCUGGUCUGAGAGGAUGGCCAGCCAGACUGGGACUGAGACACGGCCCAGACUCCUACGGGAGGCAGCAGUUAGGAAUCUUGCGCAAUGGGGGAAACCCUGACGCAGCGACGCCGCGUGGGCGAAGAAGGCCUUCGGGUCGUAAAGCCCUUUUCCGGGGGAAGAUGAUGACGGUACCCCGGGAAUAAGCCCCGGCUAACUACGUGCCAGCAGCCGCGGUAAUACAUAAGGAGCAAGCGUUAUCCGGAAUUAUUGGGCGUAAAGAGCUCGUAGGCGGUCUUA
rnacentral:rRNA from 1 species